AUAGUGCUCUUUAUUGAGUUGAUCUGCUCUCUUCGCAAGAAGAGGGUUUCCAUACACACCGUGAACUGUGGCUUCGGCCAUCACAAACUGUUAGUAAUGAAUGUAAUAUCAUAACAAAAGCA
rnacentral:misc_RNA from 1 species